rnacentral:tRNA from 1 species
GCUCCGGUAGCUCAGUCCGGUUAGAGCGUCCGUCUGAUACGCGGAAGGGCGAAAGUUCAAAUCUUUCUCGGAGUA